GUGGGGAAUAUUGGGCAAUGGGCGAAAGCCUGACCCAGCAACGCCGCGUGAAGGAAGAAGGUUUUCGGAUCGUAAACUUCUAUCCUUGGUGAAGAUAAUGACGGUAGCCAAGAAGGAAGCCCCGGCUAACUAAGUGCCAGCAGCCGCGGUAAUACGUAGGGGGCAAGCGUUGUCCGGAAUGAUUGGGCGUAAAUGGCGCGUAGGCGGACCGGUAAGUCUGAAGUGAAAGUCCUGCUUUUAAGGUGGGAAGUGCAUUGGAUACUGUCGGGCUUGAGUGCAGGAGAGGUAAGCGGAAUUCCCGGUGUAGCGGUGAAAUGCGUAGAGAUCGGGAGGAACACCAGUGGCGAAGGCGGCUUACUGGACUGUAACUGACGCUGAGGCGCGAAAGUGUGGGGAGCAAACAGGAUUAGAAACCCGGGUAGUCC
rnacentral:rRNA from 1 species